UGUUGUAAACUGCGAGGAGGACAACAUCCCAAAUUGUAAUUAGCAACAUAAAGGCGGACCAGGGAACAGUCAGGCUCCUGCAUCAGAGAAAGUGAGGCUGAGACUGGUGAAUGGGGGCAGUCGUUGCGCUGGAAGAGUGGAGAUUCACUACAAGGAAAAGUGGGGGACCGUGAAUGCUUACAGCUGGGACUUGCAGGAUGCCGCUGUCGUGUGUCGAGAGCUGGACUGCGGGCCAGCGGUCUCUGCACCGGGUUGGGCUCACUUUGGUGAAGGCACUGGUCCCGUUGUGUUCCAGGUUGCUCAGUGCAGGGGGAACGAACGCGCUCUGCGGGAGUGUGCUUCAUAUGCAUGGGGUCACCAUUCCUGGUCGCAUUCUUAUGAUGCCGGUGUCAUC